rnacentral:rRNA from 1 species
UAAGGAAUAUAGAGGUGCCCGUACCGCAAACCGACACAGGUAGACAGGUAGAGAAUACUAAGGCGCGCGAGAUAACUCUUGUUAAGGAACUCUGCAAAAUAAACCCGUAACUUCGGGAGAAGGGUUGCUCUCUAGCGUGAGUAUGAGCAAUACAGAGCGCAGGAGAGUCGCAGUGAUAAGGUCCAGGCGACUGUUUAGCAAAAACACAGGUCAUUGCAAAAUCGCAAGAUGAAGUAUAAUGGCUGACGCCUGCCCGGUGCUGGAAGGUUAAGGGGAAGAGUGCAAGCUUUGAACCGAAGCCCCAGUAAACGGCGGCCGUAACUAUAACGGUCCUAAGGUAGCGAAAUUCCUUGUCGGGUAAGUUCCGACCCGCACGAAAGGCGAAACGAUCUGGACGCUGUCUCAACAAGGGACUCGGUGAAAUUGAAAUUCCGGUAAAGAUGCCGGAUACCUGCGAUAGGACAGAAAGACCCCAUGGAGCUUUACUGUAGCCUGAUAUUGGGUUUCGGAUAUUCAUGUACAGGAUAGGUGGGAGACUAAGAAGCAUGGACGCCAGUUUGUGCGGAGUCACUGGUGGGAUACCACCCUUAAAUGUUUGGAAUUCUAACAAGGAGUCUUGAAGCAGAUUAUUGGACAGUGUCAGGUGGGCAGUUUGACUGGGGCGGUCGCCUCCCAAAAGGUAACGGAGGCGCUCAAAGGUUCCCUCAGAACGGAUGGAAAUCGUUCGCAGAGUGCAAAGGCAGAAGGGAGCUUGACUGCGAGAGCCACAACUCGAGCAGAUAGGAAACUAGGACUUAGUGAUCCGGCGGUCGCGAGUGGAAGUGCCGUCGCUCAACGGAUAAAAGCUACCCUGGGGAUAACAGGCUUAUCUCCCCCAAGAGUUCACAUCGACGGGGAGGUUUGGCACCUCGAUGUCGGCUCAUCGCAUCCUGGGGCUGAAGUAGGUCCCAAGGGUUGGGCUGUUCGCCCAUUAAAGCGGUACGCGAGCUGGGUUCAGAACGUCGUGAGACAGUUCGGUCCCUAUCCAUCGCGGGCGUAGGAAAUUUGAAGGGAGCUGACCCUAGUACGAGAGGACCGGGUUGGACAGACCGCUGGUGAACCAGUUGUUCUGCCAAGAGCAUAGCUGGGUAGCUAAGUCUGGAAAAGAUAAACGCUGAAAGCAUCUAAGCGUGAAGCGAACCUUAAGAUGAGAUUUCCCACAACGAAAGUUGAUAAGACACCAGAGAGAAUAACUGGUCGAUAGGUCAGGAGUGUAAGUGUGGUGACACAUUGAGCGGACUGAUACUAAUAAGUCGAAGACUUAGCC